GACGAACGCUGGCGGCAUGCCUUACACAUGCAAGUCGAACGACAGCACGGGUGCUUGCACCUGGUGGCGAGUGGCGAACGGGUGAGUAAUAUAUCGGAACGUACCUUAUUGUGGGGGAUAACGCAGCGAAAGCUGUGCUAAUACCGCAUAAUCCCUAAGGGGGAAAGCGGGGGACCGUAAGGCCUCGCGCAAUUAGAGCGGCCGAUACCUGAUUAGCUAGUUGGUGAGGUAAAGGCUCACCAAGGCAACGAUCAGUAGCUGGUCUGAGAGGACGAUCAGCCACACUGGGACUGAGACACGGCCCAGACUCCUACGGGAGGCAGCAGUGGGGAAUUUUGGACAAUGGGGGCAACCCUGAUCCAGCAAUGCCGCGUGAGUGAAGAAGGCCUUCGGGUUGUAAAGCUCUUUUGUCAGGGAAGAAACAGCAGCUCUAACACAGUUUGCGAAUGACGGUACCUGAAGAAUAAGCACCGGCUAACUACGUGCCAGCCGCCGCAGUAA
rnacentral:rRNA from 1 species